ACAGGUGACAGCAGUGAAGAUGAACCGAUACUGAUCCUGCACAGAAGAAGAAAGACGUCCAUCAUCACACUGUGCUCACAACGUUCAAAGUGCAGCUCAGUUUCACACGUGACGUGUCAGGGUCUGAUUCAGCUUUAGAGAUGGAAGUUUGUCUCCGAAAUAAACCCACCCGGGGCCUCUGAGAGGAGUCGGACAGGACUGGUCACGUGAUUUAACAGUCAGUGUCAUGCUGUGAAACCACCCACUUUAGUCUGGACUGCAGAGGGCCUCUGCCUCCUGAGCUGCUGGACGAUCUUCUGGAUGCUGAAAUCUGCUGUGAGCUGCUGCAGAACAAACACACACACUGGCUCCAGUUGAGGGACCCCUUUCAGCCCUCGGGCCCCUGGUGCAUGAAACGCCGCCUCACUAGUCCACCAUAUACAUGACAGGCGUUCUGAGCCUUUUAACCGUCUUGAUACCCGUUUUACAGACAGUGAAGGGUCCAAAUGCAGCCGACUGGUGAACUGGGGCCCAGUAACACUCACACUUCUUCUACAGAGGACGAGACGUCACCACAGCUCGUGUUAACACAGACAUGGCCAUGAUCACCACCUGAAACACACACUGUCAGACGUUAGCCAGAGCCCGCUGGGCAGACAAGGAGCACUUCACCGAGGUGACUGAUGGUUUGGCUUGGUCUGACUCAUAUUAAAUCUGUUCAAAGUGACGUAUGGUCCACAGCUGCUUUAACAACAGGAGCUGAAGCAGCCCUGACAGGAACGGUGACGUAUUAUUAACACAAAGAAUAUCACUUUGACAUGGUUUGUCACGUUCAUAGCAACAUUUGUUAAAUGUUAUUGUAUUUGUUUUGGAAGAAAGUUGUUAAAAUGACUUUCAGUUUGAUGAAAAUGUCUUUGGCCGUGUCUGAUGCAGGAACUUAGAUCGUCUACGUGUUUGGAGACGUCGGCAGAGGGAAGGAGUUCUCUGAGGAAUAAGAAACCGUGUCCAUGUAACACCGUUUAUCUGAGCAUUAAACCGUGAUAAUGAAAAUACUGGUGUACACUGCUCAGCUGGACACUAAGUAGGGGAUAGUUCUGCAACUACAGUUUCUUAUUCCAAAGUGUGUUUAUGUGUAUAUUUAUAUUUAUACACACACACAAACAUAAGCAGCAAAGCUACAUUGUUUAAAAGCUGCUGAAUGAAGUUUAUAGACAUGUUUACACCAAGUUUAAUCUGGAUUUAUUCAGUUUUUAUCCACUGGAACCUUUUGACUUUUGGCUGUGAUGUUUUUAAGUGUUGUUUAUGUUGUUGUUGUUUAUAAGUGUUUCACACAACUUAGUUUGUUCUGAUGGCAGCUAAAAGAAUAGAUAUGUGUUUUAUGUUUUAUGUAUUUUAAAUGUCAACACACGCGCAUUUCUGUGAUGCCCGUACAGUCCCCACCGCUGCAGGGUGUGAGGAACAUGUCCCCGUCCCGUGUAAACAGUGACUGGACACGACUGACACUGGGAGAAAGCAAAGCGCACCGGACCACGUCAGCCUGCUGGACACAGGUGCAGGAAGCACCAGGCUGAUGCUCGCUAAGCUCACCGGGCCAAAAACGGUUCCAGACUGACUGGUUUUGUGUGUCUGACCUUGACGUC